rnacentral:misc_RNA from 1 species
GAUGAAGAACGCAGCGAAAUGCGAUAAGUAAUGUGAAUUGCAGAAUUCAGUGAAUCAUCGAAUCUUUGAACGCACAUUGCGCCCGUCAGUAUUCUGGCGGGCAUGCCUGUUCGAGCGUCAUUACGCCCCUCAAGUCCCCUGUGGACUUGGUGUUGGGGAUCGGCGAGGCUGGUUUUCCAGCACAGCCGUCCCUUAAAUUAAUUGGCGGUCUCGCCGUGGCCCUCCUCUGCGCAGUAGUAAAACACUCGCAACAGGAGCCCGGCGCGGUCCACUGCCGUAAAACCCCCCAACUUUUUAUAGUUGACCUCGAAUCAGGUAGGACUACCCGCUAAACUUAAGCAUAUCAAUAAGCGGAGGA